rnacentral:rRNA from 1 species
CCUACGGGUGGCAGCAGUGGGGAAUUUUGGACAAUGGGGGCAACCCUGAUCCAGCCAUGCCGCGUGCGGGAAGAAGGCCUUCGGGUUGUAAACCGCUUUUAGCCGGGACGAAAGCUCUACGGAUAACACCCGUAGGGGUUGACGGUACCGGCGGAAUAAGCACCGGCUAACUACGUGCCAGCAGCCGCGGUAAUACGUAGGGUGCGAGCGUUAAUCGGAAUUACUGGGCGUAAAGCGUGCGCAGGCGGUUCGUUGUGUCGGUGGUGAAAGCCCCGGGCUUAACCUGGGAAUGGCCGUCGAAACUGGCGAACUGGAGUGUGGCAGAGGGGGGUGGAAUUCCGCGUGUAGCAGUGAAAUGCGUAGAGAUGCGGAGGAACACCGAUGGCGAAGGCAGCCCCCUGGGCUGACACUGACGCUCAGGCACGAAAGCGUGGGGAGCAAACAGGAUUAGAUACCCCUGUAGUC